rnacentral:rRNA from 1 species
AUAUCAGUCAUGCAUAGCAUAUCAAUAAGCGGAGGAAAAGAAACUAACAAGGAUUCCCUUAGUAACGGCGAGUGAAGCGGGAAGAGCUCAAAUUUGAAAUCUUCAAGGUUCUACCUUGACGAAUUGUAGUUUAUAGAAGUGUUUUCUGUUAGUAGGAGUGGCAAAAGUUCUUUGGAAUAGGACAUCAUAGAGGGUGAGAAUCCCGUAUUUGGUCAUUCCUUCUAGCGUUGUGAUACACUUUCAACGAGUCGGAUUGUUUGGGAAUGCAGUCCAAAAUGGGUGGUAAAUUUCAUCUAAAGCUAAAUAUUGGCGAGAGACCGAUAGCGAACAAGUACCGUGAGGGAAAGAUGAAAAGAACUUUGAAAAGAGAGUUAAACAGUACGUGAAAUUGUCAAAAGGGAAGCGUUUGACACCAGUGUUGUUUUUCCGAAAAUCAAUUACGAAUGUUUUGUUUUUGAGGAGUUAUGACUUCAUCGGCUUGCUCCUUUCUUUACGAAACUUUCUUAAUGCACUUUUCGGUUAACAAGUCAACAUCAAUUUCUUUUGUUGUAAAAGGGUAUGAGGAAGGUGGCUUUCUUUUCGGAGAAAGUGUUUAUAGCCUUGUGCCUCUGCAAUCGGAGAGAUUGAGGUCUGCAGCGUAGAUCCUUCGGGGUUAGAUACGUUUGUGCUAAGUUAUAGCUUUUCAUAGACAACUUGUUGACUAUGUUUAGUCUUGUAGCUUACUCGCUUACUGCUAUUUUACCUACGCUUAGGAUGUUGAUGUGAUACUGCGAGC